rnacentral:misc_RNA from 1 species
GUGUGCUGUGAACAGUGCCCGGCCGGGCCUUGUGCUCCGACAUGCCACGAGAGACUCGCCGAUCUCUGGAAGCAACACCUCCUUUCACACUAUGCUCUCGUCCUGCGCGGACUUCCCCCACGGCAGGUGUUCACAUCCUCCCCCCGCGUGCCUCCCACACCCCACUGGCAACAAGGUUGUGCUGAAAGCAGGCUGCAUGAUCCGAAAGCGCGAGCACGGUGCUUGACGCGCUGUGAAGCACCGCUGGCAGGGUGUGCCCCAUGCCGGCGCGGCAUCCCAGAGGUCAGCAGGGCACGAGCGCCGGCCGACGAGAGGCGCGGAAAAGUGUGUGCCGAUGAGCCCCACAGUGCGUGUGCGCGAAACGUGCCGGAAGCAUGCCAAGAACACCGCGAAUGGCCGCAUGGGCACCCCCCCCCCUCCUCCCCAGGCUGCUAUGUGAGGAGUCUCCACACAGACUCAUGGGGCAGCCGCGGGCUGCAGCGACUAAGUGCGGAAGAUGGCAUGCACGCCAGGCGCAGGGUCUCCGUAGGGCGCUGGGCAGGCGCUGGCCAGCCUCCUCCCCCGACCUCAUGCGGGAUGCACCUGGACCACCGCCUACUACACACCGACGUCAGAGGCCACCGCCUCGGCCCUGGAGCAGGACCGUAGACGCGAUGCGCUCAGGUGAAGGCCCGCCGACCACCCCAUGUCCGUCUGGCGCCUCCGGCGCCGCAGGUACCCCGGACGGAGACGUGCAGAGGGAAGAUAAGAGCGCGUAAAGCACGUAGCCGCCGAUUUGGCGGCGGGAUGGUUCGUCCUAGACGCCGAGGGUGUAGCCGUAGCGGGAGCGUGGUGGGUGGGGUGUGGCUGCGUAUGCGCGUGUCUGUCUGGACUUGCUCGUGCUGGACUGACACAUCUAAACAAGUGGACUAUGCUCUCUGUAGCGCAAGACAUUGUCUAUUUGUCUUACCAGUAACCUUACUCUAACACUAUCCGGAUCGCCACCCAGCUCUGAUGAGCCCACUGACAGGCAAUGGUGUUGCAUUCCUUCGUGAUGACAAGAGAGACAAUCUCGUACUCCGCCUCCUCGCUGAAAGCUUUAAGUGGUAGCUCUAGAGUCAGAUGUCGUUAGUGGGAACGGUACUGUAGACAGUGAUGCUUAACGUCCUCUAUGAGGUAUGGAAAACCCUGAAGCUGCGAUGACUCCUGUGACAUGAAACGUGAUAUCUUCCCGUUUGUGUGGUCUAGGUAUGCAUUAUACUUGGUGCCGGAUGUCGGCACAACAAGCACCGGCUUCUCUCUCCUUACAUUUUUCCAUCGUUCCUGUUCGCUGAGAUUGCACGAGAUGAAUGUAGAGCACUCCUGCACGGCGAGCCUUCCCCACAAGUGGAGUGCGGUGCACAAGCGAGUGAAGACACCGGUCUCUGCAAUAUGGGAGAGCUGCAGGCACUCUCUAAAAGCCAUACUUGGAAGAAAACUCAUGCGCCGCAUCACCCGUUGCAGAUGGUCCUUCACUCACGAGUUUAGCCACUGAG